UAGUUAAUUCGCUGUUAAGUAGGGAAUGAAAACGUUUAUUUUCUGUCCUAAAUGUAUUCAUGUGUUGUUUACCUUCUCGAACAGGUUCCCGUGGAAGCUGAGGCUGCUGCAGCUGUUGCUGGACUGCCUCCACAUCAAAGGUUUAGUCUCUCAUCAAGCUCUGAAGAAUUGAGCUCAAUAUAUGGAAGCAGACAUCUUGGUCAAAAAGUGCUGGAGAUAGAGGAAAAAUUCUAUGAAGAGUUGCUACUGUAUAAUUAUGUUUUUUUUAUACAUUUUCAUUUGAAUUUUCACAAAACAUAACACAUGAGGAAGUAUGUUGGUAUUGAUUUUGAUUUUCAGGUGAUGACAUCGCUAGUGUCGACAUCAUGGACAUGGGGUUGUGGUUUGUCAGCUAUUUACAGGGCAAUAGUUUAUAACUAUUGCCCAUUUGUUCUGUUGAGAAUCUUCUAAUCCUAUUGAUGCAACGAGUCGAAGGGGAGCUGUGCGUUCACCGAAGCUUUCAAAUUUUGCCCGCCCACUCAUUGAAUGGCAUGUGGUUUUUCAAACUUUUGCAACUACUUUGGUUCUGGCAAAGUUUCUAGGUUAUAAUCAUAAUCGACAAGAUGCAAAACGAGGAGGGAAUCAUCACGGAGCUCUACAUCCCAAGAAAAUGUUGAAGAGUCGGAUUGGUGGGAAGCAAUUGAGAGGCACAUAUCAUCUUCUAACUGGGUCGUCAUCUUCUUUCUUCACUUAUGAGCUUUUUGGGUCAAAGGAGUCAUCUACUUCUGGGAUUUCAGGGCCAUAUAUUUGCGCCUUCGUCCAAGGAUUUGCAUGUUGUUGUUCUGUCACAUCGAAGAGGGUUUCUGUAAGCUUGGGUUUCCUUGGCAGUGGCUUUCACCAUCGACAUCUACACCUGUGUCUCUCUUCGCUUUCCCACUUCCUCUGGGAAAAAUGAUUGGAUUCUUUGUAUAUCGUCAUAUAUCGUCGCGUGCCUUUGUGAAUUGUGUUGUGCAUAUAUUAAGUUGUCUUCUCCCCAAUUUUAAAUAUUUGGAAGUGACCCAAUAAGGGUUAGGAUCUCUCUAAGCUUCCUAUGUAAUAGUGUCCUGAAUGCGUAUGUACGUUUGUUAUAUAUAAUGUAAAGAAUAUGUUCUGGCCUGAAUUUUUUAUUUUUUUUAUUGUUGAUAUAUACUUACAAACAUUAU